AGCGCCAUUCAACGUCAAUUGCGUGACAUCGAUGCCCGUAUGUUACUCUAAUGUUCUAAUCGGAAUCGUCGAUUUAACAUUCCAAAUUCCAGUUUUGCUAUACAUUUAUCUUUCAUUUAUCGUAUAAAAUGUCAGCAGCUCCACCACCAGAAGGAGGAGAAAAUACAGAAGGUGCAGAUGAACCUAGACCACCUAAUCCUCAACAUGUGGCUGCUCAGAAACGGAUACAACAACAGCAAGCCCAAGUUGAUGAGGUAGUGGAUAUUAUGCGUACAAAUGUGGAAAAGGUUUUGGAAAGAGAUAAGAAAUUGUCAGAGUUACAAGAAAGUGCAGAUGCAUUAGAAGAAGGAGCUUCCCAAUUUGAGAAACAAGCAGGAAAACUUAAGAGUAAGUUUUGGUGGAAGAAUUGCAAGAUGCUUGCUAUAAUGAUUGGCAUAGGUGUUGUGAUUGUUGUGAUUAUUGUAGGAGGAUCCAGGAUUGAUUGGAUGUAUUUUGGAAAUUAUUUAACACCAUUAUAGAUUGUUACCUAUGAUCUGUGUAACUAAAUGCAUGUGUAAAUAUAUAUAAUGUUUCCACACAUAUGAUGACAAGCAUGGACUUGCAUGAUGUUAUUAAAUAUAAUACUGACUGCAAUACAAGAUAUUUUGCAAUAAUUUCAUUAGAAUUUAGAAGAUUUAAAGCAAAUUCAUUGAGUAACAAGAUGUGAACUGAAUUGCAAUAUAUAUUCUAUAUAUGGUAAAUUCUAUUUUAUAGACUCAUAUUUUAGCAGCAGAAAUAGUUUCAAAUGUUUGUUUUUUGAAUAUUUAAGAAUCUAUAUUUUACAUUAUUACAACAAUUAAAUAGAAAGAUAUCUUUUUAAUCCCAACAAAAAUAUUUAUUAAGCAAGACUAACAUUUUUAAUUGGAAGUUAUCAUUAGAUUUGUGAAUUUGUGAAAGCAAAGAAACACUUCUGCUUAUGGAAAUAAGGUGCUGUAUAUUACUGAACUAUGUAUUACUAAGAAAUGUUAGUUCUUGUUCAAAAAAUUUUUUGUUAGAAUCAAAAAGUGUCUUGCCACAUAAUAUUGAAAUAAAGUAUCAUUAACUUUAUUAUUUAAUUAUUUUAAAAUUGUAUAGCUAAUUAUGCUUCAAGCUAAUUAAAAUUAGCUUAAAACUUAAGCAGAUAAUUGUUAUAAAGAUCUUGUUUUUUAGAUAUUGAAGUUGAACAAGAUUCAGAAAACAAUUCAAAUAUAAAAAUGACAAGCUUAUAAGAGUUACUUCUCUGUUUUUCAAUGUGUUAAGAAGAUAUAUCUACAAAAUUUCAUAUAAUUCUACAUAAAGUUGGUUAAAUGAAUUAUUGUGUAUUCUGAAUUAUAGCAAGACAGUCCAUCCUUUUUAAAAAUUGAACAAAAAACUAAUAUAUUGCCUUUCAUUCAAACAGCUGUUAAGAAACUAUAGUAAAAUUCACUGACUUAAUCUGGCACAGAUGAGAUCAUAAAGAUGCCAGUUUAAAUGAGAUUCAUCAACUACAGUAUUCUCCUGAACUGACUCAGUUGACUCAAGAUGCUCUUCUGAUAAUAAAAAAUGUUUCUGAGUAAUGUUAAAAUUAAUAAUCCUUAAUAAUAAAACAAAUUGUUAUGUGAUUUAAGUAUUUGAUUGACUUAAUAAAUUUCAGCAUUCGUAUAUUGGAAAGAAUAAUAAACAUAUAGUUUGCAAAAUAAUACUAAUUAUAAGUAAAAAUACUGGAUGAAAAGAAUUUUACUGUAGUUGAAAUUUUAAUUAUGUGAGCUUUUUGAAAUAUCUUUUAAUAAAAAUCAUGCUACUUUGUGUACAUUACUUGUAAAUAAAAUGUGGAAUUUUUCAAGUAUGUGAGAAAUCAGAUGUUGAUGGAUGCUUAAAUUUAUAUUAAUGAUAAACUAUUAGUAGUUGAACUGUUUAUUAAUAAAGUUCUAAAAAGUUCACGUUAUAUUUUUAUUAAAUCUUCAGGAACACACUUGA
rnacentral:misc_RNA from 1 species